GGAGCUCUUCGUCCCGCAGAUGUUGCGUGUGUCCCCCCCCCCGCCUUGGCCGCAGCUAUAAAGUCGCUCCGCUGCUAAAACCCGCUUCUUCUUCUUCUUCUUCCUCCGGAAAACUCGAGGAGCGGGGCUCGGAUCUUCCUCUCCGAAAACAAUAAUCCGCCGUGGCCACCGUGGUCUGCGUUCAGCGUGAGAGCAGAGUCAGCAGCAGCGAGCCUGGAGCAGAGCGGGCAGAGCCAGAGCGGGGAGAGCGGGCUGCUCGAGCCGGAGACGCCGCACCGCCAUGACGCUGGAAACCCCGGGCUGUGACGUCACCCUGACGUCACCGCCACGCUGCUCCGGCCGCGGCUCAUGGUUCACGCUGCUGGGACAAGAAAACUUUGUUUAAAACGGUGUUUUACUCUACGACGGAGUAUUAGGGCCAAACAAAGAAAAUUAGAAUAAAAUCGUAAUUUUAUGAGAAUAAGGUUGUAAUAUUACGAGAAUAAAGUCAUAAUGUUGCGAGAAUAAAGUCGUAAUAUUAUGAGAAUAAAGUCGUAACAUUACGAGAAUAAAGUCAUAAUGUUGCGAGAAUAAAGUCGUAAUAUUAUGAGAAUAAAGUAACAUUACGAGAAUAAAGUCGUAACAUUACAAGAAUAAAGUGGUAAUUUAUUAGAAUAAAAUCGUAAUAUUACAAGAAUAAAGUGGUAAUUUAGUUAUAUUUAUAUAUUUAUAAUAUAUUUAAUAUUACGACUUUAUUCUCGUAACAUUACGACUUUAUUGUCGCAACAUUAUAACUUUAUUCUGGUAAUUUUACGACUUUAUUCCGGUAAUUUUACGACUUUAUUUUCAUAUUAUUAUGACUUUAUUUUCGUAAUUUCCUUUUUUUUUUGUCUUAGUUUGGCCCUAAUAGACCCCUUUCCAGCCUACGUCAUCACAGGAUGCGCGCGCAUUGUUGCGGCGGAAGUGCUGAAGAAGUUGCAUGAGUUUGAAUAAUACAUCCAUGGUUUGAAUAGAGCGAGGGAAGAUUUGUUUCUUAAGUUGCGUUUUUGGAGUUGCAGUAACGUUAUAGAAGAACAACAUGCCCACCAGCUGUUGUGUGUACGGGUGUACAAAUCGAAAUCCCGAGGAACACAAUUUUUUGCAAUUCCCAGAGGAAACAGGCCAUUUCCAAAGCACCGUAGGAGCCUGUGGCUGCAAGUAAAAGAACCGACUGGACCGAGGAUCAUCUAGAAUGCCCGCUUUUGCAGUGCUCAUUUCAUAUCUGGUGAGAUGUCUCUGGACCAUGAGAUUCCUGAUUUUGUGCCCUCUAUUUUUUCAUACACUAAACAAAACCAAAACCCUGAUGCAAAGAUCAAAAGGUACCAAAGAAAAAAGAAAUGGAGUGAAAGACUUCUGGUUGCUCCACCAAACCAACCUGCUCCUGCUCCUGGAGCUCCAGAGGAAUCACCAGCAUGGAUCACAGUCCUACUGAAGAGGACAUCCCAGUCACGAGGACAGAAUACAAUGACCUGAACCUGAAGUACACCGAGCUGAAGAGUGACCACGUCAACCUGCAGGAAAAGUAUCAACAGCUGCGAGAUGAAAAUGAGAACUUAAAGAGGAGCUGAAGAAGUCUACAUUUUCAUACUCAAAUAUUAAGUGCAACAUGGUACAACUGUUGUUUAUCACUAGAAUAACAUCUGUGCUCUUUGACUUUGUGCACCAAAAUUGCAGGAAGUGUAAAAAUAUUCAGCAAGAAGCUCUCUCUACAGGAUCAUCUUUUGAUAGUGUUAAUGAAAUUAAGGUUGCAGCUCAUGGUGCCACCCUUCGCAUUCCAGCUUUCACCAAAGGCAAACAGCAACUUUCUGCACAGGAGGUCGACACAUCAAGACAACUGUCACGUGUCAGGAUACUGUACAUGGCUUUCGAUUUGGAGCUAUGACUAUGAAUUGAAUAUCAGCCAUUAAUGAUUUA